CUCCUACGGGAGGCUGCAACUAGGAAUUAUGCGCAAUGGCCGAAAGGCUGACGCUGCGACGUCGCGUGGAGGAUGAAGGUCUUAGGAUCGUAAACUCCUUUUAUCUACGAACAAGUUCUGAGUGUAGUAGAUGAAUAAGUGCCUGCCAACCACGUGCCAGAAGCAUCGGUAAUACGUGGGACACAAGCGUUACCCGGAUUCACUGGGCGUAAAGAGAUGCGUAGGCGUCUAGAAAAGUUCUGUGUUAAAUCCCAAGGCUCACCCUUGGAACCGCAUAGAAAACUCUCUGGAUUGAGUCAUGUAGAGAAUAGGGGAAUUCCUGGUGGAGCGGUUAAAUGCGUUGAUAUCAGGAGGAACACCAAUGGCGAAAGCACCUAUUUGGACAUGUACUGACGCUAAGGCUCGAAAGUGUGGGGAGCAAAACGGAUUAGAUACCCGUGUAGUCCACACCGUAAACGAUCCCUGUUAGAUGUUCGAAAUUUGCUGAAAUUUCUCUUCGGAGAAGGAUAAGCACUUUUUGAGUGUCGCAGCUAACGCGUUAAACAGGGCGCCUGUUGAAGUACGACCGCAAGGUUAAAACACAAAGGAAUUGACGGGGACCCGCACAAGCAGUGGAGUGCCUGGUUUAAUUCGAUGAUCAACGAAGAACCUCACCUGGGCUUGAACUGUGGCUGCUAAUCCUAUGAAAGUAGGACUCUUUCGAAGGUGCCACAGAGGUGAUGCAUGGCUGUCGUAAGCUCGUGUCGUGAGAUGUCGGGUUAAGUCCCACAACGAGCGCAACCCCUUUCAGAUGUUACAAUUACUUCUGAUACUGCCCCGCCAAAACGGGGAGGAAGGAGGGGAUGACGUCCAGUCAUCAUGUCCCUUAUGUCCAGGGCUACACAGACACUACAAUGGCGAUAACAAUGGGUUGCCAAGCCGCAAGGCGGAGCUAAUCCCAUCAAAGAUCGUCUCAGUUCAGAUUGCAGGCUGCAACUCGCCUGUAUGAAGUUGGAAUUGCUAGUAAUCGGAAAUCAGCGUGUUCCGGUGAAUACGUUCUCGGGUCUUGAUCACACCGCCCGUC
rnacentral:rRNA from 1 species